GAUGAACGCUGGCGGCGUGCCUAAUACAUGCAAGUCGAGCGAACGGACGAGAAGCUUGCUUCUCUGAUGUUAGCGGCGGACGGGUGAGUAACACGUGGAUAACAUACCUCUAAGACUGGGGUAACUUCGGCAAACCGUAGCUAAUACCGGAUAAUAUUUUGCACCGCAUGGUUCAAACGUGAAAGACGGUCUUGCUGUCACUUAUAGAUGGAUCCGCGCUGCAUUAGCUAGUUGGUAAGGUAACGGCUUACCAAGGCAACGAUGCAUAGCCGACCUGAGAGGGUGAUCCGCCACACUGGAAGUGAGACACGUUCCAGACUCCUACGGGAGGCAGCAGUAGGGAAUCUUACGCGAUGGGCGAAAGCCGGACGGAGCGAAGCCGCGUGAGUGAUGAAGGUCUUCGGAUCGGAGAACGCUGUUAUUAGGAGAGAACAUAUGUGCAAGCAACUGUGCACAUAUUGACGGUACCUGAAGAGAAAGCCACGGCUAACUACGUG
rnacentral:rRNA from 1 species